CAGUAACGGCGAGUGAAGCGGCAACAGCUCAAAUUUGAAAUCUGGCUCCUUCGGGGUCCGAAUUGUAAUUUGUAGAGAGUGCUUCGGGCGAGACCUCGGUCUAAGUCCAUUGGAACAUGGUGUCAUAGAGGGUGAGAAUCCCGUAUGCGACCGUGGCUCGAGCCCAUGUGAAGCCUCUUCGACGAGUCGAGUUGUUUGGGAAUGCAGCUCAAAACGGGUGGUAAAUUUCAUCUAAAGCUAAAUACUGGCUGGAGACCGAUAGCGCACAAGUAGAGUGAUCGAAAGAUGAAAAGCACUUUGGAAAGAGAGUCAAACAGUACGUGAAAUUGUUGAAAGGGAAGCGCUUGCAACCAGACCUGCCCGUAGGCGAUCAGCCGCUGUUCUCAGCGGUGCACUCGCUCUGCGAUCAGGCCAGCAUCGGUUUCGGCGGUCGGAUAAAGGCCUUGGGAAUGUAGCUUCCCUUCGGGGGAGUCUUAUAGCCCUCGGUGCAAUGCGGCCAGCCGGGACCGAGGACCGCGCUUCGGCUAGGAUGCUGGCGUAAUGGUUGUAAGCGACCCGUCUUGAAACACGGACCAAGGAGUCUAACAUCUAUGCGAGUGUUUGGGUGUCAAACCCAUACGCGGAAUGAAAGUGAACGGAGGUGAGAACCCUUAAGGGCGCAUCAUCGACCGAUCCAGAUGUCUUCGGAUGGAUUUGAGUAUGAGCAUAGCUGUUGGGACCCGAAAGAUGGUGAACUAUGCCUGAAUAGGGUGAAGCCAGAGGAAACUCUGGUGGAGGCUCGCAGCGGUUCUGACGUGCAAAUCGAUCGUCAAAUUUGGGUAUAGGGGCGAAAGACUAAUC
rnacentral:rRNA from 3 species